UACGAAGGGGGCUAGCGUUGCUCGGAAUUACUGGGCGUAAAGGGCGCGUAGGCGGCACAGCAAGUCGGGAGUGAAAGCCCGGGGCUCAACCCCGGAAUGGCUUUCGAAACUGCUGAGCUAGAGUACAGAAGGGGCAACCGGAAUUCCCAGUGUAGCGGUGAAAUGCGUAGAUAUUGGGAAGAACACCUGAGGCGAAGGCGGGUUGCUGGGCUGAUACUGACGCUGAGGCGCGAAAGCCAGGGGAGCAAACGGG
rnacentral:rRNA from 1 species